CAGACCGUUGCAGAAGAUCAACGGACUUUUAAUCCGUAGGUCGAGGGUUCGAGUCCCUCCGCUCUCA
rfam:Planctopirus limnophila DSM 3776 plasmid pPLIM01, complete sequence.